GAAUCCAUCCAUUUAUUAACUAGCAAUUAACACAAAUCCGCAAAAACACACUUUCAUAUUUAUAUAGAAAACCAUACUGUAUACAUUACAUGAUUGUGAUAAUACAUAUAUAAGAUGUUAUCGAGUGUGAUAUCUACAUAUAUACAUAUAAAAUGACCUGUCAAAAAGUUAUAACCCUGGACUACACUCGAUCUCACAUCAGACAAAUGUAAUGAUCAUCCCUGUCAUCGUCUACUGCAACAGCAGACUCCUCAACAACAGGCUCAGCUGAAAAGGGUAAUGGUAGGGUGAGCAUAAUCCACUUGCUCAGUAGAAACGUAACACACAUUCCCAAUAUAUUAUCAAAUCAUAACGAUUAAUCACGCAAACAGUUAAAUAUGCAAGUUUAAAUAAAAGAACGGUAAAAAGACAGUAACUAUGAUUUUUAAAAGUACUUUCUACUGCAAGUAAUAGAUAAUAUACAAGCAAUCAUACAAAAGGUCGGGUACAUGUAUCCUAUUAGAGUGGUGAGGGUACGACUGGAACUCCGCCCCAGUCCCAGGCAGUUCUUAGUUCAGUACUUACCGGUGUGAACCUGCACCGUUAGUUCCUGAUUAUUCGGUCAGGUGAUUACCGUUUUGUGUCUCGAGAACAAUAACCCUCUUUCAGGGCUCAGGUGGGCCUUCUGACCACGACGCUCCAGAGGGAGAAUCACCUAUCACUGUGGUCAACCGUUUGACGACUACAGACUGCACAGGAUCCUGACACACGUCCAGGAGUGGACUACCUCUCACUCCCCGCGUCUAACCUCCUCGAGGUAGCAUGUAUCCCCCCACACACUAACCAUCUACAGCAAAUACCACUAAAAGCAUGGCAAUCCAGGAAGGUAGAAAAGGAAUCCCCAGAAACAUCUUACAAUGUUCGCCUCUAUUAAGUGCCCAUUCACCGUCUAAAGGUGAACACUACAUAUGUAAUCCUAGAAAGAACUGUCAUCUCUAGAAUAUGACAACAAUUCCUUCUUUGUAGGAAUUUACAGGUCCCUUGCCAAACCGCCUCGUGAUACAAUAUAUAUAAUAUAUAGGGUAUCUUUUAAUAAUAGUUAAUUUAAUUUGGCAUGUGUGACGAGUCCCUGAAUUUAUCAACCAUCAAACCAGUUCCCUAUUCACGGCUACCAGACACGGGCACUAACCGAAGGAACUAUCCCGUGUUCACGGCUACCAGACACGGGCACUAGCCGAACGGAUUAUAAUCCGAUCUAUAAUAAUAUGUUCAUGUAAGCACCCAGAUCAUAUAUUUUCCCAAUCCAAGAACCUCACACCAUACCAACAUACAACUGGACCCCACAUCCCAGAUACAAAAUCCAUCUCCCUUUUCCCAUCCUGGAAAAGAGAUGCAAUAAAAACUUCAAUAGCUUUUCUGUUUAUAAGACAAUAUCCUGUACUACUUUAACAACUCCAGUUUAAAACAUGAUAUCUGUAACUAAUCAUUUUCAUACAUUUUACAAUCAUAAAACCACGAGUACUAUAUAUAUUCCAACCAAAAUCAUGCAUGCAUUUUCUUUUCAUCACUAUAUUGAUAAUAUUGUAACAUUUGAAACAUGAACCAUGAGAAGAUAAUAUAGAGGAAAUGUAAGUCCCUUCCUCGGCUCGCUCCCACAACGCAACUCUAAACCCAAAUAAAGCUAGCAAGAUAUCAAUUCCUAAAAAUAGCAAAGACAACUAUAAAUAUAUAAUCUAAAAGGUGGAACAAAGCUAUUACAAAUCACUUCCUAAUCUAUCUUACAAUCGACAUUGCGGCAAUUCUAUCAACAUGUUAUAACUUCCCUCCUCUAAGGUGUGUCCAGGUCAAGGAUAUAUUAGUAAAAACCCUACUAGUUGGUAUAUGAAUCCAUGGAUUACCAACUACUAACAGACUAGGUGGUGUCUUGUAAAACAAUUGACCAUGUAAAUGAAGUAUCUAAGACAAUCCACUAUUAAUGUUGGGCGUGACCAGAUCUUUUUCCCUACUAAUUGAAGUUGUGUAGCUAUUGAUCACCACCACCCUCAAUAACCAAAUGUCGAAAACAUCACAAUCAUGUCUGGGAUACAACCUUUCAUCUACUAACCUUAUAAGAUAGUUCUUAUAUAUGAUAGAAAAACUAAAUAACUUAAAAAAGAAAUCAGAUUUACCUUGUCCAAACUAAACCCAAGUAUUAAAUCUAUAGCCAAGAAACAAGAUUCCCACAACCAGGUGUUCAACCCAUAGUUUUUCUUCUUUACAUACUUAAACAAAAUCUUUCUUUCCCAAUUAACCUUAAUUUCCUUGAUUGAUAUUGAUUCCUUAUAUUAGCUUUCUCUUUUUAUGCAUCAACACAACUUCAGCCAAAUGAUAUUCUUACGAUGGUAGCGCGUC
rnacentral:lncRNA from 1 species